AGAGUUUGAUCCUGGCUCAGGUUGAACGCUGGCGGAAUGCUUUACACAUGCAAGUCGAACGGUAGAGGGGGCAACCCCUUGAGAGUGGCGAACGGGUGAGUAAUAUAUCGGAACGUGCCCAGUCGUGGGGGAUAACGUAGCGAAAGUUACGCUAAUACCGCAUACGAUCUAAGGAUGAAAGCGGGGGACCGUAAGGCCUCGCGCGAUUGGAGCGGCCGAUAUCAGAUUAGGUAGUUGGUGGGGUAAAGGCUCACCAAGCCAACGAUCUGUAGCUGGUCUGAGAGGACGACCAGCCACACUGGAACUGAGACACGGUCCAGACUCCUACGGGAGGCAGCAGUGGGGAAUUUUGGACAAUGGACGCAAGUCUGAUCCAGCCAUUCCGCGUGCAGGAUGAAGGCCCUCGGGUUGUAAACUGCUUUUGUACGGGACGAAACGGUCUGGGUUAAUACCUCGGGCUAAUGACGGUACCGUAAGAAUAAGCACCGGCUAACUACGUGCCAGCAGCCGCGGUAAUACGUAGGGUGCAAGCGUUAAUCGGAAUUACUGGGCGUAAAGCGUGCGCAGGCGGUUUUGUAAGACAGAUGUGAAAACCCCGGGCUCAACCUGGGAACUGCAUUUGUGACUGCAAGGCUAGAGUACGGUAGAGGGGGAUGGAAUUCCGCGUGUAGCAGUGAAAUGCGUAGAUAUGCGGAGGAACACCGAUGGCGAAGGCAAUCCCCUGGACCUGUACUGACGCUCAUGCACGAAAGCGUGGGGAGCAAACAGGAUUAGAUACCCUGGUAGUCCACGCCCUAAACGAUGUCAACUGGUUGUUGGGUCUUCACUGACUCAGUAACGAAGCUAACGCGUGAAGUUGACCGCCUGGGGAGUACGG
rnacentral:rRNA from 1 species